ensembl:lincRNA
GGCGCCUUUGCCGGUCCCCGCCGCUAGAUGGCGGCCGGCGUCAUGUUGAUACCCUAUGGGGACCUGGAGGAGUCGGGUGAGGUCUCCUUUGAAUGGAAGACCCAGAGGCAGGAACUGGAACUACUCGACUCUUUCCAUCCAUUUCCCCAAGCGGAAUUAUCACGACAGGAUGUGCAGUUACCCAUCUCAGCCCCAGCAGAGACGGAGAACGAAGGGUCUAGAGAAGAGCAGAGCGGCCUCUCUGUGAGGAAACAUGAGCGUGAUGUGAAGAUGGAGUCUGAGGAAGAGGCAGCCUGCUGCUGCUGCUGCUGAAGAUGGGGUGUGAACAGCUGGAGCUGAUCAAAAAUGAUGAAAAGGAGGCUGAGGAAGGAGAGGCUGACUCUUGAGCACAGGGUGGAAUUUAGAAAUCAUAUCCCAUCAUUCCUCUACCUGAGACUGGUGAGAGACUGAAGUAACAGCAGCUCCUCUCCCCUGGUGUCUUCAGCGCAUCCUCACUGUUCUCCCUCUCUUCUUUAUCCUUCCUGUGCUCAUCCAGUCAUAAUAACCUUGCACCUGGCUCCACAUUCACUUCCUCUGAUGCUCGGGGUAGCUAAAUCUUACCCUUUAAGUCUUUCUCUAAAUUUUGGUACCUCCUGGACUUCACAAUUAAAAGAUAUUUUUUAAUCAAAAACAAACAAAAACAAAAAACAAAACCUUGAAAAGGUGCUCUCAACGAUUAUAAUACGUGUGUGUGUGUGUGUGUGUGUGUAUGUGUAUGUGUGUGUGUGUGCGCGCGCGCGCGUAAAAUAAGGAUUUUUAUCUAAACUAUAUGAAGAAUCCAUAGGAAAUUAACAAAAAUUGGUCAGGACUUCACCAAGCUCUUUAUGAAAGAGUGUGUCUACUAUAAUUUGGAUCUGAAGUCUCAGAGGACCAGCCUGUGGUGCUGUUGGGAGGUGAUAGAAACUUCUAGAAGUGGGGCGUGGCAGGAGGAAGUUUCCUGGGUGCCAUGAGGUGAGUACCUUUCUCUUGCCCUGUGCGCCUCCCUUGAGUUCUGCCUCACACAGGCGCAAAGGCUGUGGGGUCAAAUGACCACGAGCUGAAACCUCCUAUAUAAUCCUUUCCUGCUUGAAAGCUAUUGUGUCAGGCAUCUUAUCACAGUGCUGGCAAUCUGUCUAACACCAUUUGUGAAUGACUAAUGAACAAAAGAGCAGAAACAUUGCUGAUCAAGAAAAUCAGAAUAAAGACAACAAUAAAAUUCCAUAGCCCUCAGAAGAGCAGAAGAUAGAAAGUUUCAGUGAGGAUGUAGAAUUACUAGAUUUUCCUCUUUUCUCUGCUCUCACCCCCCUUUUGAGACAGGAUCUUGUUUUGUAGUCCAGGUUAACCUCGAACUCGAAGUGAUCCUCCUGUGUCAGACUCCUGAGUGCUGAGAUUAUGGCAUAAGCUAUUGUGGUGACUUCAUGUUUGUUAUUGGUAGGGUAAAUAGUUAUGACCAAAAAGACUUAUGUGAGAAUAUUUAUAGCAUAACACUGUUUAUAUCAUGCCAGUGAUCAUACAACAAUUGUAAAUGUCAUAGUAUAGUAUAGUCAUAUGAUAGAACAAUAUAUUGCAAAGAAAAUGAAUAAUUUUGUAUGAUUUCAUUAGAAAUCUGUUCAGAUGUAUUUAUUUAAUAUGUAUGAGUAAAGGGACCAGCUCCCCAUUUCGGCAGCCAUAACAGCCGAACACGUGCUUGCCAUGAUCUUGUCUUGGUCACUAAGAGGUCAGAUGCCUGCCUCGUGGCAAGGAACCAAUCAGAAGUUAGCUGGUGGCGCUAUGCUUUACAGCUCUGGGUGUGCUUUACGGACAAGCGCACAGCAAUGAUGUAGAGAGCAUAGCAACCCCCCUGGGAGGGCCUAUGAGCCAUAACAACCAUUUGACCAAUCAACACAGGGCAAGCCCUCCAAGCCUAGAGGCACACCAAUCCUGAGCCUGUGCGUACCCCUAGACACUCCCCUUAUGCUAUCCUACAAGAUAUCUAUGCAGAUGCUUUGAGCUGUCUUUUUCUAGCCAUCCGCCAUGGCGGGUGGAUGAAAGACCCGAGCUAACAUGAUGUUAGCUCGUUAAGCAACUAUAAUAAAGCCUCGUGCAGUUUGCAU